UACAGAGGUGGCAAGCGUUGUUCGGAAUUACUGGGCGUAAAGGGCGCGUAGGCGCCUUCUAAGUCAGACGUGAAAUCCCCAGGCUUAACUUGGGAACUGCGUCUGAUACUGGGAGGCUUGAGUGCGGGAGAGGGAUGUGGAAUUCCAGGUGUAGCGGUGAAAUGCGUAGAUAUCUGGAGGAACACCGGUGGCGAAGGCGGCAUCCUGGACCGACACUGACGCUGAGGCGCGAAAGCCAGGGGAGCAAACGGG
rnacentral:rRNA from 1 species